rnacentral:rRNA from 1 species
CCUACGGGUGGCUGCAGUGGGGAAUCUUGCGCAAUGGGCGAAAGCCUGACGCAGCAACGCCGCGUGCGGGAUGACGGCCUUCGUGGUUGUAAACCGCUUUCAGCAGGGACGAAAAUGACGGUACCUGCAGAAGAAGCCCCGGCUAACUACGUGCCAGCAGCCGCGGUAAUACGUAGGGGGCAAGCGUUGUCCGGAAUCAUUGGGCGUAAAGAGCUCGUAGGCGGUUCAGUAAGUCGGGUGUGAAAGCUCCGAGCUCAACUCGGAGAGGCCACUCGAUACUGCUGUGACUAGAAUCCAGUAGGGGAGUGUGGAAUUCCUGGUGUAGCGGUGAAAUGCGCAGAUAUCAGGAGGAACACCAGCGGCGAAGGCGGCACUCUGGGCUGGUAUUGACGCUGAGGAGCGAAAGUGUGGGUAGCAAACAGGAUUAGAUACCCCAGUAGUC